AAUCCACGGUGAUAGCACCUUCUCAAUAAAUCCUUAUACCUCUCCCAUGCAUCAUAAAGGGUUUCUAAAUCCAUUUGCAAGAAAGAAUAUAUAUCAUUCCUCAACUU
rfam:Gossypium hirsutum cultivar TM-1 chromosome 10, whole genome shotgun sequence